rnacentral:rRNA from 1 species
UACAGAGGUCUCGAGCGUUAGGCGGAAUCACUAGGCUUAAAGGGUGCGUAGGAGGGCAGGUAAGUCAGUGGUGAAAUCUCCGAGCUUAACUUGGAAACUGCCGUUGAUACUAUCUGUCUUGAAUAUUGUGGAGGUGAGCGGAAUAUGUCAUGUAGCGGUGAAAUGCUUAGAUAUGACAUAGAACACCAAUUGCGAAGGCAGCUCGCUACACAUAUAUUGACUCUGAGGCACGAAAGCGUGGGGAUCAAACAGG